GGAAGCACAAGAUAUCUUAACGGAGACGACGAGCUUCACGUUCGGAUUCCAAGAGACAGAGAAUGUCGUUUUCACGAACGGGACCCUUGACGUUACGGAUGAUGGAACGGUUAGUAUCGUCCAUGAAUUCAACGCGAACUUGGGUGACACCACCACGAGAACCGGUACGGCCGAGAACCUUUGUAACUCUGGCAAGCUUGACGGGAGUCUUA
rnacentral:misc_RNA from 1 species